rnacentral:rRNA from 1 species
UUUCGGUAAGUUCUUAGUGGCGAACGGGUGAGUAACGCGUGGGCAACCUGCCCUCCAGUUGGGGACAACAUUCCGAAAGGGAUGCUAAUACCGAAUGUGCUCCCUCCUCCGCAUGGAGGAGGGAGGAAAGAUGGCCUCUGCUUGCAAGCUAUCGCUGGAAGAUGGGCCCGCGUCUGAUUAGCUAGUUGGUGGGGUAACGGCUCACCAAGGCGAUGAUCAGUAGCCGGUCUGAGAGGAUGAACGGCCACAUUGGGACUGAGACACGGCCCAAACUCCUACGGGAGGCAGCAGUGGGGAAUCUUCCGCAAUGGACGAAAGUCUGACGGAGCAACGCCGCGUGAGUGAUGAAGGUCUUCGGAUUGUAAAACUCUGUUGUUAGGGACGAAAGCACCGUGUUCGAACAGGUCAUGGUGUUGACGGUACCUAACGAGGAAGCCACGGCUAACUACGUGCCAGCAGCCGCGGUAAUACGUAGGUGGCAAGCGUUGUCCGGAAUUAUUGGGCGUAAAGAGCAUGUAGGCGGGCUUUUAAGUCUGACGUGAAAAUGCGGGGCUUAACCCCGUAUGGCGUUGGAUACUGGAAGUCUUGAGUGCAAGACAGGAAAGGGGAAUUCCCAGUGUAGCGGUGAAAUGCCGUAGAUAUU